rnacentral:lncRNA from 1 species
AUGUUUGCCAUGUUGGAAGUUAGUGUUUUUUUUUUUAAAAAAGAUAGAUAGUAUGUUACCCGUUUCGUUUAUUUUAUUUAGAAAUAAACUUAGCUGGAAAUGUGAAUCAAUUAGGAUUCGAACUUGGGAUCUCGGAUACCAACCAUCAAGCCCUUUAUCACUUGCUCUAGGGACGGUCGGUAAGUUAAGAAAGUAUUUAGAUCAUUUCUGUGUUGUUUUCAUGGGAUGAGUUUUGUGGAUGUAAGUUA